GAGCAGACAGAGCAGGACUUUCUUCUUCUUCUUCACGGUGAAGGUGUGUGUGAGCUGAUGUGGAUCCAGUGAAUCCAGCAGCAUGGAUCAGUGGGAGGACACACAGGAGGGAGCCCC
rnacentral:lncRNA from 1 species